GCCCAGGUGGUGAAAUCGGUAGACACGCAGGACUUAAAAUCCUGUGUCCGUUGAGGACGUGCGGGUUCAAGUCCCGCCCUGGGUA
rnacentral:tRNA from 1 species